AAGCCAUGGUGUGGGCAUUGAGCUUGGUAGCCCUUGAAUCUUUCCCAGGCUUCACUGAAGCCUUCCAAGUUCUUCUGUUGAAAGCUGGAAAUCUCGUUUCUCAGCUU
rnacentral:snoRNA from 1 species